GACAGAGGGUGCAAACGUUGUUCGGAAUUACUGGGCGUAAAGCGUGUGUAGGCGGCCACGCAAGUCAGGUGUGAAAGCCCCGGGCUCAACCCGGGAAGUGCACUUGAAACUGCAUGGCUCGAGUAUCGGAGAGGUUGGUGGAAUUCUCGGUGUAGAGGUGAAAUUCGUAGAUAUCGAGAGGAACACCAGUGGCGAAGGCGGCCAACUGGACGAAUACUGACGCUGAGACACGAAAGCGUGGGGAGCAAACAGG
rnacentral:rRNA from 1 species